CCUACGUGUGGCAGCAGUGAGGAAUAUUGGUCACUGGACGAGAGUCUGAACCAGCCAAGUAGCGUGAAGGCUGACUGCCCUAUGGGUUGUAAACUUCUUUUAUAUGGGAAUAAAAUGUUCCACGUGUGGGAUUUUGUAUGUACAAUAUGAAUAAGGCUAGGCUAACUCCGUGCCAGCAGCGGCGCUAAUACGGAGGAUCCGAACGUUAUACGGAUUUAGUGGGUUUAAAGGGAGCGUAGGUUGAUUGUUAAGUCAGUUGUGAAAGGUUGCGGAUCAACCGUAAAAUUGCAGUUGAAACGGGCAGUCUUGAGUACAGUAGAGGGGAGCGGAAUGCGUGGUGUAGCGGUGAAAGGCUUAGAUAUCAAGAAGAACUCCGAUUGCGAAGGCAGGUCACUGGACUGCAACUGACACUGAGGCUCGAAAGUGUGGGGAUCAAACAGGAUUAGAUACCCGUGUAGUC
rnacentral:rRNA from 1 species